rnacentral:tRNA from 2 species
CCCUGGUUAGCUCAGUUGGUAGAGCGCUCCACUUGUAAAGGGGAGGUCCCGGGUUCGAUACCCGGACCAGGCG